ensembl:snoRNA Snord43l1 small nucleolar RNA, C/D box 43 like 1
CACAAAUGAUGAAUCCUUUGACGGGCGGGCAGAAUCUCUGUGCUGAUUGUCAUGUUCUGAUCUG